GACCUGAGAGGGUGAUCGGCCACACUGGGACUGAGACACGGCCCAGACUCCUACGGGAGGCAGCAGUAGGGAAUCUUCCGCAAUGGACGAAAGUCUGACGGAGCAACGCCGCGUGAGUGAUGAAGGUUUUCGGAUCGUAAAGCUCUGUUGUUAGGGAAGAACAAGUACCGUUCGAAUAGGGCGGUACCUUGACGGUACCUAACCAGAAAGCCACGGCUAACUACGUGCCAGCAGCCGCGGUAAUACGUAGGUGGCAAGCGUUGUCCGGAAUUAUUGGGCGUAAAGGGCUCGCAGGCGGUUUCUUAAGUCUGAUGUGAAAGCCCCCGGCUCAACCGGGGAGGGUCAUUGGAAACU
rnacentral:rRNA from 1 species